CUCUCCGGCGUGAACGCUCUCCCCCUGGUCAGGUGACCAGCGGAACGCAUGCACGGACGCCAUGGGUUGGACGAUCGUCUCCCAACCGCAUGUUUCACCACCCUCAAAAUCACACCACUCAUCCACUGCGUCAAAAGAAGGCGCUCAUCCUCACAAGGGUCGCUGAAGCCUAUUCUGGCUGACUUCAGGCGAAAGGCGGACGACACCCAGAAUUGGUCGCCAGGCAUGUUGCAGAUCACAAGUCAACACCAUCACUGAGCGGGAAUCAAUCGCACGCCCACUACGCCAUCGGCGACACUAGUGUAAACUUUAAGCUGUCGGCAGACCCAAACGGAGGACUUAUCAGCUGUGCCGUGGUAGCUUGUCCUCUUCGAGGUGCAAGCGACAGGAAAUGUGCUGGAGAAUUCAACACGUGGAAGUGUGAGUGAGUCAACUGUGUUCGGUUUAUUUAU